rnacentral:rRNA from 1 species
AUUGAACGCUGGCGGCAGGCCUAACACAUGCAAGUCGAACGGUAACAGGAAGAAGCUUGCUUCUUUGCUGACGAGUGGCGGACGGGUGAGUAAUGUCUGGGAAACUGCCUGAUGGAGGGGGAUAACUACUGGAAACGGUAGCUAAUACCGCAUAACGUCGCAAGACCAAAGAGGGGGACCUUCGGGCCUCUUGCCAUCGGAUGUGCCCAGAUGGGAUUAGCUAGUAGGUGGGGUAACGGCUCACCUAGGCGACGAUCCCUAGCUGGUCUGAGAGGAUGACCAGCCACACUGGAACUGAGACACGGUCCAGACUCCUACGGGAGGCAGCAGUGGGGAAUAUUGCACAAUGGGCGCAAGCCUGGUGCAGCCAUGCCGCGUGUAUGAAGAAGGCCUUCGGGUUGUAAAGUACUUUCAGCGGGGAGGAAGGGAGUAAAGUUAAUACCUUUGCUCAUUGACGUUACCCGCAGAAGAAGCACCGGCUAACUCCGUG